rnacentral:lncRNA from 1 species
UAGAACAAAAAAAUGCAACCUAUUGAGGCCUACAGGCCAAGCCGAGCUUGGCCUCAUUAGGCCCAAGUAAGUGCUCUUUACUUCAAAAAAUUUAAACUCAGUUUCUCCUUUAUUAAAGAAAGGCAGGACAAAAAACUUUUUACUAGACUAUAUGGGACUAUGCCCAAGCUUAGCCAAACCUCCAUUUACUUUGUUUUAGACUAUGUGAGAGUGGGACUAUGUCAUGCUUAGCCAAACUUAACACAAGCUCAAGUGCAUUGUAUUUGAAAUUUUUGAACUUGACCUCUCCUCUAUUUAUAGAAGAAAUGUAGGGACAAGAGAUGUUAACUAGACUAUGCGGGACUUUGAAACAAAAAUGCAAUUGAAUUAAAUGCCUCUCAUUCUUAUAGUUUGCUAUUAAACUUGUGUUUCUUGAGGUGCCAAUGUGGGACAAAACACAAAGGUAGAUGUGUUACUUCUUCCUUUUACCAACAGCUUUAGAAAAUGAAGGUAGAUAUAUUAAUCACGUGCUGCAUUGCUAUACAUAAUUUUCAAGAAACAGUCACCACCAUCAUUACAAAAUAAUCCAAUGUCCAUAUAGUUUACAAUGAAAUUAAUUCUUAUUUACUUGCAAGUUAAAUAAAAACAAAUAAAUUUUGAACAAACUACUUGCAACAAAUUUUGAACAAGAAAAUCAAAUUCACUAAUUGAAAAUUAAACCAAUUGUUAUACCCAACACCCCCAGAAAUAAGGCGAAAAAUCUACGAAAUGGAGUUUUAUAAGAACACUGGUCUUGUGGGUUGAAACCUUUAGCUAACAGAUGAUAUAUGGAAACAUGGAGGAAAACUCCACAAGCAAUCCCCUGCGUAAGAGCAUAGAUCCAAUCGGCUGCACCUCUUUGAGCUGAUUCUUUAAUAAUAAGAGCUAUUACUAUUCCAAUCGGGGUUGAAAUUGCAAAGGCAAAAGAGUAUGCCACGCUUGUCAAAAAUGGCCUGUAUAGUUGCAUCCUCAGCACUGCAAUAAUGCAAAAUUAUAUGAGACUAUAAUCUUGUAAAUGUUAAGUCUAUAAUCUCAAAGUCCCACAUCGAAUUGAACUUGAAUUGAAAAUAAGACUUCACUCUAUAAUAGCAAUCCUAAAUUUCAAUGUUUAUCUUGUAAAUGUUAAGUCCCACGUUGAAAGUGGGAUGCAAGUAUAAGGAGGAUUUCCUUAUAAAAAAAACUUGCUAGUAUGACUCAACUAAAGAUUUUAGACUGGAUAGGUCGCAGGCCGGAUUAGGUUGCCUGACUAGUCCAGGCUACAAACAAGGCCGGUUCAAGCUAUAGACCUGGCCGUAGGCUAGGCCGGGCCAGGCUUUUUGGAAGGCUAGGCUAGGCCGGAUAUGAGCCAUUAAUUUAUUGUCUGUCCUUGGUCUAUUAGGUCGGGCCUGACCGGGCUAGACUUUGAUCAGGCCGAGCUUUGACCAGGUUGGGCUUAGGCCGGAUCAAGGCCAAGCCACAGGCCGCAGGCCAUUUGUGCACCACUACUUUGGAACGUCAUAACUCGGUCUUCCGAACUCGGAAUGAGUCUGUUCUAGAGGCUACGACUUCCUUAUUCACUAUAAUAAUAUACUACUUAAGAAACCCAAAAUUUUUUGGAAAGUAUAGCUAGUCCCAAAUUUGUCUUUAGGGCAGUCGGUUUUAACCUCUUCUACUAAAACAUUCACCAUAAAUUCAUUUUAACUUCUUUUUGAUUCAUUCUAAUUGGAUUAUUUCCAUAACACAUAGGAGUAUAACAUACUACUAUAGAACUUAAAUUUCAGACGUGAAACAUAACCACAAAAGCUCCAAAACAGUCCAUAACAGUCCUCUAAUUGUCCAUUUCCAUCCUUUAUAUAAGCAUAGGUUCAGAUUUUGGUUAUUUUGAUUCCACUUUAAUGAUUUUAAUGGUCAUUAUAACAUCUGAACAUCAUUCUCAUGAUGCUUCUCAACUCAUAAAACUCAAACAACAACAAUAUUUAACAAGAUAUGAAGUUUAAGAGAUAAAAUGGAAGUUUAAAGUUUUAGAACUUACUUAUUUGAUUUCUUCCUCUUAAUUAGAUGCUAGAUAACGUUGUUAGAGCUUGCUAGGAUCCUCUUUCCUUCUUCCUUGAGUAUUCAUAAACCUCUUCCUCAAGUUUUAACUCUCACCCAUUUCUUUUUUUCUCAUGGUUACAAGAUGAAUGAGGAUGGAGAAUGGCUUGGUUUUGUUAACUGACUUCUUCUCUUUCUCUCUUUGCCACAUUCGAACUUCUCUCUUCCUCCUCUCCCAACUCUCUUCCUCACUUUGCAAAUAAAUAAAAUGAACUUGAGAGUAAAGGAACGGAUGAUACUUGGUGGGAAUCAUUGAGUUAUACAAAACUUCUUGGAAAGGAGAUUGAGAAGGAUGUUGACAAGAUUAGAUUUUCCAUACAUGGAAGUUGGAGUUUUAUCUCCUUAAGACCCAUUUGGUUCGAAUAAUUCCUCUCUCUUAUCCGGCUCCUUCUCCUUAUUCCCACAUUUGCUAACUUAGAAGAAUAUGCCCGAAAUUGGGCUUUACUUUGGGCUUAACUUGGGAAUUAAUUUGGAUUAAUUACAUAUAUUAGUACAUUUUUAAAAAUAAUUACAAAAAUCAUACAUCUAUAAAAUAAUUACAAAAAUACUAUAGUUCAUCAUUUUUAUUUACAGUACUAAUACAAUUAAAAGUCCUUAAAUUAAGGGAUUAAUAUUAAUGGGCUGACAUGGCAAAUUAGUUUCCAUCUUCCUCAAACAUUCUUUUCUCGUUCGGUCUCCCUCUCCGCCCUUAAUUGUCGAUUAAUAUAUCGUCAUUCCGAUCAUCUUCUUCACCUUUAUAAGCUUCGUAUAUGAUCUCCAAUGGCGCUCUCAUAUUUCACUCGACAAAAGAGUCGGCGUAGAACGGGUUUGGAUCAUACCCAGAUCCCGAAUUCGUAUCGCAUGAAUCCCAAAUGUGAUUAUCAUAAUUAUAAUCAUCCGUUAGUUGUUCUUAUUCCUGUUAUUGGUUCCUGUUGUUGUAGUAGUAAUCAUCAUAUUCUCUCUCACCCACACCAAAUUGACAGUUCAAACUUGCAUAUUGUCAAAGAGAUGGCAGCACAUCUGGGCAACUAUUCCCCAUCUGAAUUUGUACAAAUACAAUUUCGGGAGUUGCGCUAAAUUUUCCCUAUUUUGUACUUUGAUUUUGUUGGAUAUUCAUAACCAUUUGUUAUGGUUAGCGAGUCUGUAAUGUUUUGUUGGAUAUUCAUAACCAUUUGUUAUGGUUAGUGAGUCUGUAAUGUUUAUUGGAGUUUAUGUAACUGGGUUAGAUAUAUAUACAGGUUGUUUAUGUUUUGGUUAUCAUUAUUAAAACAUGUUCUGGUUACUUUCAUAUAACUAUUUGGUUACUUAUUUAAUAUGUUUUGGUUACUGUUAUCUUAUGGUUUGGCUACUAUUAUUGUGCCCUCAAUGUGGGAUUUUUGUUACUUUUAUUUUUUAUUCUGGUUAAUAUAUAAUUGUUUAGUAUAUAUGGAUUGCCUAAACUGAGUUUCAUUACAUGAUAUUUCUGUUUUGGUUACCACAUUAAAACUUGUUCUGGUUACUAUCAUAUAAUUAUGUGGUUACUGUUUUAUUAUGUUACAUUAUGGUUACUGUUAUUAGUAACCAGAUAGUUACAAGCUUGUAUCAAGACAAACAUCAAGUGUUAAAUGUACACAUGAGAGUGUCUUAUUUAUCUAGCUGAUGUAUACUUAUAAAUUACAUACUCAUAAAAAUUAUCUGAAAAUUAUAUAGUUGGUAUUUAAAUCUGCAUAUAGAGGUAACCAUUUUAUUUUUUUAUAAGUAAUCAAAUUUACAUAAAAUUGGUUCAGAACAAUAUCCAUCAACUAUUUCAAUUAAAAUGUUAGUUUGGUAUCCAAACCUACAUAUAUGGUAACCAUUUUUAUUUGUGUUAGUAACCGGAUAAUUAUAAGUUUGUAUCAGGACUGUUAUAAAGUGUUAAAUGUAUAUGUUUUAUUUAUACCCUGUCAUCAUAAUGAAAUAAGAAACUCCAAUUAAGAGUUCCCAUUUAUAUAUAUGAUGGUCACUUAUAGAUCUCAUAUAUUAAAAUAAAAAUAGUUUGAGAGGUGCAGUUGGUAACCAAACAUGUAUAUAAGGGUAACCAUUUUAGUUUAUGUUAGUAACAAAAUAAUUAAAAACUUAUAUCAGAACAAUUAUCAAGUGCUUAAUGUUCAUGUGAGGGUUUCCAUUUAUCUAGCUGAUGGAUACUUUUAAAUUACAUAGUUAUAAAAGCUAUUUGGAAAUGGUCCAGUUGGUAACUAAAUAUGAAUAUAGAUGUAACCAUUUUAUUUUAGAUGGGUAACCAAAUUUACAUAAAAAUGUUUCAGAAUGGUUACCAAUUGUUUAAUGUAUAUGUUUACUUUAUAUUGACAACUCAUGAUGGAAUCAAAAAUCAAAAUAUUAAUCAAUAACAAUUUUGGUUAUUGUACACCAUCAAAAAUGUUACCAACCAUGUGGUUAAUGGUUACUAACAGUAAACAAUUAUAUAUUCCUGUAUUUACACUCUUUUUGUUUAUGUUCCGUUGAAAUAAAGCACAACUGAAAUCAUCUCCAUUGUCUGACAACUGAAUAAACAUUGUAAAGUAACCAAAUCAAUAUUAUACAGUAACCAAACUACAUAAUCUUAGUAACCAGAACAUAAACAAAAAAUUUACAUGCAAUUUUGGAGGCCUAAAUGAUGGAAUUUGACCAAAAAAACCCUGUAGUUCAUGAGCUAAGCUCGUGACUUUUGAUUGUUGACCCGUUUUCAAUGAAAUUAGACUCCGAAAACACCAAAAUCUGACACUUCAAACUUGACAGAAAUUACCAAAUUGUCACUGAAUCAAAUCUUUCCAUAGUAUAUCAAAUCUUUCCUUAAACUGAAUCAAAUCUUUUCAUAAACUGACACGCCUGCUCUUCAACAACAUGAGUUUGUUACCAACUAAAGACUAACAGUUAUAUGAAGUUAACCAACGUAGUCAAUAAGUAACCACCAAUAUAAAACACACUAAUAUUAUACAAUAAUCAUAACAACAUUAUACAGUAACCAAAUUUAGAUUAGACAGGUAUCAACAUAUAUCUAUUUAGUAACCAGAACAUAAACACAUUUUUCAUUGCAUUUUACAGUAAAAAACAACCAGUAUAAUGUGUUUGUUACCAACUAAAGACUAACAAUUGUAUGAAGGUAACCAAUGUAGCUAAUAAGUAACCAUGAAUAUAAAAAACAUCAGUACAAGUGUACAUUAAUAUUAUUCAGCAGCCAAAUAAAUGUUAUACAUUAACCAAUUAAAUAGUAUACAUCAACCAAUAUAUAUAAUCAGAUUAACAGUUGUAUGAAGGUAACCAAUGUAGUCAAUAAGUAACCACCAAUAUAAAAGAAACAAUUAUAACACACAAUAACAUUAUACAGUAACCAAAUAAACACCUUACAGUAUCUAAAUACAUAUUAAACAGUAACCAAGAUAUAUGUAAUUAGUAACCAAUAUUAUAAAAAAAUAUUUUUACAUUCAUUUUACAACCAAAACAAUCAGUAAUGACUUUGUUACAAAUUAAAGACUAACAGAUGUAUGAAGGUAACCAAUGUAGUUAAUCAGUAACCAUCAAUAUAAAAAAAAUCAGUAUAAAACACAGUAAUAUAAUGCAGUAACCAUGGUAAUAUUACACAGUAACCAAGUCAGCAUUAUAUACUAACCAAAUCCAAAUUAGACAGUAACCAACAUAUAUUUACUUAGUAUCCAUAUCAUAAAACAUAUUUUUCCAUUUAUUUUACAGCAAAAACAAACAAUAUAAAAAACAUCAAUAUGUACUUAAAGAUCCAACAGUUGCAGGAAGGUAACCAAUGUAUCUAAUAAGUAACCAUCAAUAUAAAAAAUAUCAGUAGAAUAUACAUUAAAAGUAUACAGCAACCAAAUAAACAUUAUACAGUAACCAAAUUAAUAAUAAACAGUAACCAAUUUAUAUGUACUUAGUAACCAGAAUAUAAAACAUAUUUUUACAUGCAUUUUGCAAUCAAAACAGUCAUUAUACUGUCUUUGUGACCAAUUAAAGAGCGAAAAACUUAAGAAAGGUAACCAAUAUACGAGUAUAUAGUAACCACGGGGUAGCUAUAUGCAUAUAAACUUUAAACUCGAAUACCUCAGUAUACAAAUAUGUAAAGAAUUAAUCAACAAUCAACAAUCAGUAUAGUACGUAAGUUUCUGGUUACUGAUUGUAAAUCGAAAGAAUAAACACAAUAUAUACUUACAUAUGAAACUUCAUAAUGUUGCUUGACGAUCUCGAAGUUGAUGUCGAUCUUCUCUGAUUUUUUCCGAUCUCGAAGUUGCUGUUGAUCUUCUCCAAUUUUUUUCGAUCUCAAAGUUGCAUCGCCGUCAGAGAAUUCGUCUUCUCCGAUCUGUGUCGUUCUAUUUUUCUUCAUGAUCGGUUGAUUGCAAAUAUGAAAAUAGGUAACUGACGUGUGGGGAGUUAAUGUUCCGUAAUUUUAGCAACUUAUUAUUGUGUUGAGUUAUUUUUGUAAUUAUUUUGUGGAUGUAUUAUUUUUAUAAAUACUUUCUAAUUGUUGUAUAUUAGUGUUAAGGACCCUAAAUUUUCUAUGUAUGCUUGCAAGCUUAUCUCUAAGUGUUAUGGGUCAUUGCUACAUUAGACAGGUGUAUUGAGGCCAAACAUAACACCUAAAUCCAGCCCCUCCUUCAGUCAUAUUUAGGAGCCCAAAUGGGUAUAUAGAGAGCUGAGUUUUGUGAAGACAGUUCAGUUGUUACGUUAGUUUAGUUAGGCAGAGUGGAUCAGUUAAUAGUCAAUAACUUGCCACCAAGAACAAGGGAAAGGGCAACUAUGGGGCAGAGGUCUGACACUUUUAAUAGGGGCUGGGUAGACUAGACUAGAAAUUAUUGUUGAGAGCUUGAUAGGGUGGCUGUACAGAGGCCAAAUAGAGGCUAAUAGGACUGCCAGAAAAAGGAGAUAGCUCAUCCAUUAAAGGCAGCCCCUCACCCUCAUCCCAGCCAGUCAUUCAAGGAAAAUUCUGGGUUCUAUUUUGCUACAGAGCUUCCGGUUGGAAAGGAAGGAAAAUUAAACUACCAAACUACCUAAAUUUUUAAAAGCUAGCAAGGUAAGCCCAUUUAAACUCCUUCCAUUCUUUUUCCAUUUCAUUGUUAAUAGCAAAAUGGACUGUUUUGGCCGAAUGGUCUGGAUUGGUCAUAAAGGGCUAUUUCACUAUUACAAUGAUUGUUAUUUUGGAUUUUUGAAUGUUAUGUAACCGUUAUAAGGUCUAAUUGUUGCUGUGAUCAUUGCAUAAGCUGACUAAUGGUCGGGUGGCUUAAUAGGGGCUGAUAUAUAGAAUUUGAUAGUGAAUUGCUUUAUGACCAUAUUAGUAAUUGUUAAUACUGAUUGUGGGUUUUCUAUAAUGACUAUUUUGAAUAAGAUGGUUGUGUUUGCUAUGGUUGUCGUUAUGCUUGACUAAUAAUAGAAUCAUUGUUGUUUUAAAGCCAUAAGGCUGGGGUUAAAGAGCUAGAAGCAUGUGUACUAUAUGCCAGUAUGUGGACUGACCACCAUCUGUUUGAUAAAGUGACUAAAUGAGGACUGAAAUGUGUGAAAUGUGUUAAGCAAGUUAACUGUGUAAUAGAGUCUAAGAACAUGUUUAUUUGCUAAAAUGGAAUGUAUCCAUACUUCAAGUGUGCUCUACACUUAAGUAUACUAUGUUUUUAAAAACCACUUACACACAAUGCUAGCUAUGUUAAUGAACAAAACAAAAGUAAUUUUUUACUGUUUAUUAGGAGCUGAUUAUGAUUAAUUUGUCAUAUUUUAAAGGUUGUUUUCAUGCUAGGUAUGGUGCCAAAAUGUACUAAACCAUGAAUGAUAAAAGGGUAGAGCUUAAAGGGUAAUUGCAACUUGAAAAGAACCUAAAAUAGGGCAGGGCCUAUUUUGAACAGGCCAGACUCAGCCCCUAUUUUAGGAAUAUUUGGUAUACUAUUUAUGAAAUUAAGAAGCUUAGAAAAAGGACUGUUGUGGACUGUUAUGUGUAUAAUGUUUUAAACCAUCCAAAUCAAAGAUAUACAUGCUAAAUGUUAUGUAAAUAGCUAGUUCAUGUUUGUAUGUCACAUAAUCAUAUUGUUGAUUAGGUUGUCAACCCAUGUUUUCAUGAAAGUAUAAAGCCUACUAAAGGCUUUUUUGAACAAAAUCUUAAGGUAUUACAUCCAUAUGUUUUUAACCAUGAAAAAUAUAGUAUAUAGCAAGUACUUGUUGUGAUAAUGCAUGAAAUUCAAUGCUUGGUACUGUUUUGGUGUAAUGGUACUAAAUCAUGCCUAAAGUGCUCUAUAUGGACUAUUUUGGGUAUUCAAAAGAUGACUGACCUUUGCAAUUAUAAAUAAGGAAAUAAUUCUAUGUUAUAAGCAUGUUUUGAGGAUUGCUUGAAUACUUAAAGUUCCCUUUUACCUACAUAAGGACUAUUAUGAAUUGUUAUGUAAAUUUCAUACCUAAAAUGUCUAGAACUGGACUGUUUUGUGCUAAUGGUUUAACUAUUUAUGCAAACAUGCUAAAUUCCAUGAAAAUGAGAUAUACUAAUGGUUAGGAGCUUGCAAGAAUGCUUAGAUAUCUAAAGAAGCAUAGCUUGGGACUGUUUGUGAAAAAGAAGAAGCCAAAACAGUGCUUAAAUCCUACAAUUAGGAACUGUUAUGGUCUAUUUUAUCUACUCUUGUUAUAAAUCAUUAAAGUGUAUGUACAUUGUCUACAUAUAUCAUUUAAAAGUUGUUCCUUAAGUUAGUUAAGGUCUACAAGGUAUGUUGUGCAAAUUCAUGCUUAAAAACCAAUAAAAGUAAGAUUUAAAUAGCAAUGAACACCAAAAUGAAGAACCACCAUACCUGGACCAUAUAGAAAAGUUCCAAUAGCUAAAAUAUGACCCAAGUAAGCUACACAAGCUAAAGAAACCAAGUCUAAACUGUUUUGAGCAUUAGACUUGUUAAAAAUCAUAUUUUAAGCCAAAUAGUGGACUGUUUUGGGUGAUUGUUAGCACCUGAACUUAAGGGGCUGUGAUAAACUCAUAUAAAGUUUCUAGUGUAUGCUUAUAAUGGUUUCCAAUCAGUACCAAGACCAAAGUUAGCAAGAAAAGCAAGUUAGAAUCCAUUUUUCAAGCCUAAAGUGAGCUUUGAUAGGUCAAAAUUGGCUAGAUGAUUAAAUAAAGUGUGGUGAUGCUAAAAGUAUCUUUAAGUAACUUAAAUACACAUGCCUAGGCUAUUCUAGUGGCCAAAACUAGAAAAAUUUGGACAAAAGUUCAAAAAUUGGUUUUGUAAAAAAGUGAGAAAACUGCCAAGUUUGAGCCCUGUUUUGGGAAGCUUAAUGGGUAUGAAAAAGAAACCUAAACCCUGAUUAAAAUACCUUGAUGUACGAUCUAAAAUUAGGCUCAAAUGGUUGAGCCAAGAUCUUAAUCCAAUAAUUCAAACAAAUAACCAAACUAGGCUAGAAAAUCAUUCUAACUGCAGUUUUGGAAAAUUUUGCAAGUAUAAAAUUUGAGAUUUUGCCAUUUUGCUUAGAACUCCGUUUUAACACCUUAAACAAAUUAUUUAGAGGCAUGCUAGGAUAUUCCAAGUUUUGGAAUGCUAAUAUAUACAACUUCAGAAAUUAGUAUGUAAAAACUUGAAAAAGCUAGGUUUAGAGGGUCAAAACCAAAUCUAUGCUUAAUAAAGUCAAAGGAAUGCUUAAACUAGUCUUAACUAGUAAUAAUUCAAGUUUUGGAAUGAACCCAAGAGGCCAGAAAUGAAAAUGGCAAGAAUUGACUGAAGUUAGUAAACUAAAAACUGUGGAAAACACCUAGUUUGGGCAUGAGUUUCAAGAAAUAUAAAAGGCUUACUUGGAAACCUUAACCAACACAAAAAAAUACUUUGGUAUAUAUGCUAGAAGUAUGUCCAGAUUUCUGGUCCAAAAGCCUAAUACAAAAAUUCCUAAAAAUCAUCAAAGUAGCCUCGAAAUUCAUAAACGUGCAGUUUCCUUAAGAAAUUGUUAAGAACAGCCCAUUUGAGGCUUGUUUUUGAAUUGUCUAACUUGAUAGUUUUUAUGAUUUAAACCAAGGAUAAAAUACUUUGGUAUGGGGUCUAUAAAAGUGUACAAAUGAUAGGUUCAAAAGACUAUCAUAGAAUAUUCUAAAAAUUAUCAAAGGUGCCUCAAAAAUCAUGAUUUUGAGUUAUUGAAAUAUAUUUUUAAAAGUGAAAUUUAAGACUUGUAAAUGUCCUAACAUGACUAAAUAAGUUAAUAAAAGUAUGUUAUGUUCUAAGAUCUAUAAGAUGACAUGUUUAGACAAAAAAAAAACAAGUAUGCUUUAUGAUAUAUAUGAACUUUAUAGGUGAUGUGUGCCUAUGUGUGUUAGUUGUAUGAAAGUGUCAUAUAAACUAAGCUAUAAAAAGGUGUUGCGAUAAACUAUAUGCCUACGUGUACUAAGUUAUAUUUGCAAAUAAAAGCUGAAUGUAUACUUGGCUAAUGUUAGUAAAUAACAUACAUGUUAGUUAUUGGAUAUGGCUUCAAUAACCAUAGUAAAGUUGUGUAUCCAUAAAUAUGGACUUUGUGUUACAACAUAACUAAGUAAGCUGAUAUUGUAUAUAUGUAGGUACAAUAUCAUGUAGGCUACUCUGUGGCAAGUUACUUUCUUUAUUAAAAGGUUUAAUCGACACAAGAGGCAAGUAUAUCAAACCAUUCUCUCUUAAAUAAGUUUAUAUUGCAGUAUUUAACUCAAAAGCUAUCUUUUCAAGUUAUUCAACUUAUUGUACUUUAAUGCUUCAAAUUCAGUUAUUCUGAUGAUAUUGAAAGAAUGUCAAUGCCAUUAUUUCGGCUAGAAAACUGUUGAGAUAUAUUGAUAUUAUUCAUUCAUGAAAAUCUCAUUUAAUGUUCUCUAAACCAUUUUGUUGUGGUGCGGACUCUUAUAUAAUGUUGUGAAUGAACAACCCUUUUAUAGGGGCAUAUUGUACUGGACAUAUGAUUCCGAAGGACAUGUAAUAUGUCAUCAAACUGUUAUGUUGUGUACAAUAUAGGGUAUUCAGGUUGAUCCCCUAAGGUACAAGUCUAAGAUAUAUCAGUUUUAAUAACUGUUUGCACCUAUUGAUUGCAGUUUUAGUACUGUCAAUUCUAAUACAGAGUUCACUGGUCAUUUGACCUUACAACAUGCUAAAGCUUGAUUCUUUAAACCCAAAGCUUAUCAAGAACUAUUUUUCUCAGUAUCUCAUGAUUUUAUUGCCUUUAUUGUAAAUAUUCUUGUUCCAUUAUAUUCAAUUGUUUAUUUUCUUGUUGAGCAAGCUUUUGCUCACCCUUGCGUUGAAUAUAAUGUUUUCAGUUAAAACCGAGAACGCUGGUACGUCUGGGAAAGAUAAAGGAAAAGGCAAAGUUGUAGAAUAAUUUAUUAUUAAGCGAUUGUGCUUAAAUGGACUUAAGUAGUUGAUGUAAUAAAUACCUUUAGUACUAUGUUUUGUAAUAUUAUUUAAUAUUUAAGUUAUGUAAAGGUCUAUAGAACUUGAGAUUUAAGUAAGAUAUUUAUGUAAUCUAAGACAGGUUUAAGUUAGUAUUUUUAUGGAAUGAAUGGAUAUGUUAGUAUCGUGAGCACCAAACCUGAGGUAAAGGUAACCCGAAUUUGGGAGCGUCACAUAUAUAGUGGGCCAAGGUCCAUGUGGAGUUAUUUUAACCCAUGUAGGAUUUUGUUUGGGCAAUGGAG